UAGAGAGAAAAUAAUUCUAAUUAGUUAUCAGAAAAGUUGCCAUGGCAACUUAAGAUGCUGAAAAACAUGACAAAGUUAUAGAUGUUCAAAAAUAUGGCAACGUUGACAUGGCAUUUUAAGAUGUUCAAAAGCAUGGCAAACUUGCCAUGGCAAAAUUUAUGAUGUGCCAAAACAUGGCAAACUUCUUUAAUUAACAUGUUCAAAAACAUGCAAACUUGUCAUGGUAAAGUUAUAGAUGUUCAAAAACAUGGCUAACUUGCCAUGGCAACUUAAGAUGUUGACCAACGUGGCAAACUUUCAGGUGUUCAAAAACAUGGCUAACUUUCCAUGGCAACUUAAGAUGUUGACCAACGUGGCAAACUUUCAGAUGUUCAAAAACAUGGCAAACUUACCAUGUCAUUUAAACAAAUGCUCAAAACCAUUUGAAACUUGCCAUGCAAAACUAAUGAUGUGCAAAAAUGGCAAAAAAAUAAUUAAGUUUGUACAAAAACAAGGCAAACUUCUUUAACUAAGAUGUUUAAAAACACGGCAAACUUGUCAUGGCAACUAAAGAUGCUCAAAAAUGUGGCAAUCUAAUAUGCUAAAAAACAUGGCAAACUUGCCAUGGCAAAUUUUGUUCAUAGAUCAUGGCAAAUUUUAGUUUGAUGUUUCUGCCAUGGCAAAUUCUACUUUAUUUUCCAAGACGAUGGUAAAUUUUAAUAAAUGACCAUGGCAAAUUAAGUUUGCGAUUUCAUGGCAAAUUUCAUUACUUAACCAUGGCAAAAAAAUUGAUCAUGCUAAAUUUAGUAAAUGAUCAUGGCAAUUUUUAGUUUAUAGAUCAUGGCAAAUUUUCAUUGCAUGUAUCAUGCCUAAUACGAAAAUUAUUCACUCAUAAAAAUAUUCACUUUCCAGAAAACAUAUGCGUGGGGUAAUGUGCAUAACCGUAAAAUUAAAACAAUGGCAAAUUUACAUCACUUGUGGCCACCAUUACCAAACUUUGGCAUCUUUGUUUUUCAUCAAUGCGUGCUUUCUUAUGAGCAUCGCAUCUUUUACUUUUUAUGCUCCCAUGACAAUAUUAGUUUUACUGUCAAGACAAAUUUGUCUUUAUGUAUCACGACAUUUUUUACUGUGCAAACCAUAACAUUUUAUUUCUAAUUUAUGUAGCAUGGCAAUUUUAUAUUUUUGUUGCACCAUGGAAAUUUUUUAUUUUUUGUAAAGCAUGAAAUUUUUGCUAGUUGCCAUGGAAUUUCACUUUUUUCUAAAGGUAGUGUGUGGUAGUUUUAACAAUUAUAACAAUCGAUGGCAAUUCUUGAUUUUUUUUGGGGGGCAUUUUUAUUGUAUAAUUUCUUCUCAGUUUUUUCAGCUGGUUUUUUAUCAUUUUUUCGUGUUUUUACUGCAAUGUCAUUUGUUAAUUUUACGUUUUUAUGUACACAAUAGUUUCUGAUCAUUUUUUUCACUUUUGUUUAAUUUCUGUUUGCAAAGGGAAGGGGCCAGCAGGCCUAGCAUAAGGUCUGGCUAACGUGGGGCGGGAUCGUUCGGGCUGGGGGGACAUCGUAACGAACGAAACCCGUUCGGUCGUAGUGCCCUGGUGCACUAAACAAUUCGUUCGGUCCACUCCCCUCCCAUCCCGAACGAUCGGGAGAUAUCGGUGUCCUAUUACUUUGUUCUCAGUAACUUAGUUUUGCGCCGUAGGAUCGUUAGCACGAAUAUUAGAGCAGGGAGAUCAGCCAUGUCACCCUUUUUUUGUUCGGAAAAUAAACGCCUCGUCACGAACGCCUGUCAGAUCUUAUCCUCUUCCCCCACCGCCCAUUCUACAUCCCACCCAGCACACUCAGGAGAGCGACCAUGCGGCGGUGACGUCGGAGACGAGGCAGGUGGCGGCGGAGACCAGGAAAGUAGUUCACUGUCUCGCAGCUCCACUGGGACCAACAUCGUGGUGUCAAGCGGCGGAGACGAGCGGGCUGUGCCGUCUCCGAGGGCGGGCAGAGAACUCGACGACGAGGGCGUCGAGCUUGAGCCAGGCGAGUGGAGGCGGCGCUACGUGCGGCGGGCGGUAAACUCGGCGACGAUAGCAUUGAGCUUGAGUCAGGCGAGCGGAGGCGGCGCUACACACGGCGGGCGGCGAACUCGGCGACAAGGGCAUGUACACCUCCGGCUUGUGCACCAGCAGCUGCUUUGAAAGGAGGCGUGGGUCAACGGAGCGCUGGCGGGGGUGGCCAAUUCACAGGAUCGCACUGAGAAGGUUGGCGGUGUGAAAGUUUAAGAUGAUGAGCUCGACGUUGCUAUCGUUGGUGGAGGCAUGGUGGGCUUGGCUGUUUGCUUGUGUAGUGUGUAAGUAUUGAUGCCUUUGUGUACUUCUAUUCCUUCGAUUAAAUUGUUCAUGAGGUCACCUUAGUGUUACGCUUAGGCUGAGAAUCGAUCCCAACAUUAGCUAUAAAAGGAAACUUGGCACUAUUGGAAUAAAGUUCUCAGAGAUUCUUCCAGCCAUUUUUAUUAGUUCAGUAUGAAGUAUUACUAAUAAUAUUGUUAGAAUGGUAGUUGCAGAGGAGUUUGGUGGCUGUAUGUGGAAACCCCCACUACAAUUUUUCCAUUUUUAUAUGCUUUUAGCAAGAACAAAAUUUACCAUGGCAUUUUCAUAUGUUCUGUCACCACUGCAUAGAAGAUCUUUAUGAUUUCAUCUUCUUACAGUGGUAGAGAUGUCAUGGCAUCAGUCUGUAGUUUUUACCAUGUUGUUUUUGUGCUAGAAAUCUGACCCCCACAUUUACCUUGGUUACUUCCAAUCUGUAGUUCUUGGAGUUAGCAUAUGAAGUUGUCAUGGACAAUUUUCAAGCACACACUGAUGUCACGGGCAAUCUGUAGUUGGGGUUCAAAUAGCAAAAAUAAAUUUAGUAAUUGACCAUGGCAUAUUUAGUUUAUGGAUCAUGGCAAAUCCCGUGCCAUGUCAACUUAAGUUUAGAAACCAUGUACGCUCUAUGAACAUCAGAUUUGAACAUAUGGCAAACCUAUGAAUUUUGUUUUUUUCAUGAAAAUGUUUCAAAUUGAUGUUACCAUCAUGGCAUGACAGAAUUAUAAAUGCAUGAGGCAUGGCAAAUGUAGUUAUUGGGUCAUGACAUUCUUCUCUACAUGAACAUAUACAUGCCAUUUUUCCUAACAAAAAGCAUGACAUCUAUAAUUAAGAGACCAUGCUAAUUUAUAACAUACAUCUUUCAUGGCAAAUUUUGUUCAUAACUUGUGUUUGUUUUACAUACAUGAUUUUUUUUCUGAUAUAGAACAUGGCAAAUUUAAUUAAAAUACCAUGGCCAUUUUUUAUAUGAAUCAUGGCAAUUUUUUGUUCAUAAUUUGUGUUUGCUUUACAAAGAUAGCAUUUUUCUCAUAUUGAAAAAAAAUCAAUUAAAAUAGCAUGGCAAGUUUUGAUAUGAAUUUGCCAUGGCAAUUUUGUUCAUAAGUUGAGUUUUACUUUUUCAUACAUGACAUUUUUUUCCCAUACAAAACAUGGCAAUUUUUUAUUAAUUACCACGGCAAUUUUUGAUAUGAAUUUGCCAUGGCAAUUUUUUGUACAUAAUUUGUGUUUGCUUUACAAAUAUGGCAUUUUUCAUGGUAAAAAAAAGAUGGCAUUUUUCUCAAAUAGAACAUGGCAAAUUUAAUUAAAAUAGCAUGGCAAGUUUUUGAUAUGAAUUUUCCAUGGCAAUUUUGUUCAUAAGUUGAGUUUUAAUUUACAUACAUGACAUUUUUCUCAUAUAGAACAUGGCAAAUUUAAUUGAAAUACCAUGGCUAUUUUCGAUAUGAAUUCGCCAUGUCAAUAAUUUUUAUUCAUAAUUUGUGUUUUAUUUUACAAAGAUGGCAUUUUUCUCAUAUAGAACAUGGAAAAUUCAAUUAAAAUAGCAUGGCAAGUUUUGACAUGAAUUUGCCAUGGCAAUUUUGUUGUUUUACUUCUUCGUACAUGACAUUUUUUCCAUACUAAAUAUGCAAUUUUUUUAUAUGAAUCUGCCAUGACAAUUUUUUGUCCAUACUUUUCUGCUUCAACUGCUCACUCUACAUAUGAACAUGGCAACUAAAAUUCAUAUGUUCCAUGUGGUUGUUUGUAUUUUGUGCAUUCUAUUAUUUUUUCCUGGUAAGUUUUGCCAUGUCAUAUUUCUGAACAUAACUUUUUCCUUGGCAAUUUUUGAUUUUUUGCCAUGCUAUCUUGGAAACCAUUUUUGUUGUAAACCUUGCCAUUGUAAGAAAAAAUAUCAUGCCAAAUUAUGAAAUAGUUUGGUCAAACUCGAAUGGAAUUUUUUUGGAAUUUUCAUGUGUUAUAUAAGUAUCAUGUUUUAGUAAAUACAAAUUGAGGGGUAUUGUUUUAGUAAAUGGCUGUAAUAUAGUCACGUGGCAAUUUUUCUUUCCAUACCUUUUUAAGCCUUUUCGGCCCUUAUAAAGUCCUUUUACUUGUGAUCUCA